rnacentral:rRNA from 1 species
UAGGGAAUCUUCGGCAAUGGACGAAAGUCUGACCGAGCAACGCCGCGGGAGUGAAGAAGGUUUUCGGAUCGUAAAACUCUGUUGUUAGAGAAGAACAAGGACGUUAGUAACUGAACGUCCCCUGACGGUAUCUAACCAGAAAGCCACGGCUAACUACGUGCCAGCAGCCGCGGUAAUACGUAGGUGGCAAGCGUUGUCCGGAUUUAUUGGGCGUAAAGCGAGCGCAGGCGGUUUCUUAAGUCUGAUGUGAAAGCCCCCGGCUCAACCGGGGAGGGUCAUUGGAAACUGGGAGACUUGAGUGCAGAAGAGGAGAGUGGAAUUCCAGGUGUAGCGGUGAAAUGCGAAGAUAUAUGGAGGAACACCAGUGGCGAAGGCGGCUCGCUGGUCUGUAACUGACGCUGAGGCUCGAAAGCGUGGGGAGCAAACAGG